AAAAAAAAAAAAAAAAAAAACCACUUGAACUAGAAGUGCCUUUUCAGUUGUUACUGCUUCUCUAAGUUCUAUAAAUUGCAGUCAUGAACUUAUUCAAGGACUAGUUUGUUGGAUUUUCUAUUCAGGUGAGACAAAUAUUUGAAAAAUAAGGACAGAAAUGAAAAAAGAAAAGAAAAGGAAAGAAAAAGAACCUGUUGCAACCUCAACCUGGCUAAGCGGAUCAAAACAUGGUUUAGGCCAAGAAUGAUUUUACCCAUUUGCAGCUCUCUCCAUGUUGCUAAAAUAAAAUUUGAUGAAAAGAGAUUUGUCAGAAACUAAAAAGGAAAAAAAAUUCUGUUCAAAUAACUUGGAUUAAAUUUUCCAGUUAAGCCAUAAAUGAUGUUUCUGUUUCUAAUAAGUCUAGCAACAAAUUGAAGAUUUGA
rnacentral:misc_RNA from 1 species